UGUAAGCGUAUACCAAAGUUGUUGCAGUUAAAACGCUCGUAGUCGGAAUUUGGCAGUUCCGGAUGUGUGCACGUCGUGUGCGCACUUCGCGGGGAUUGCUUUUGUGGUCUUGCGUAGGAUGAGGCACUUUUAUUAGUGAACGUCCUCACGCAACCACUUUUUACUGUGAGAAAAUCAGAGUGCUCAAAGCAGGCAUUUGCCGUGAAUGUAUUAGCAUGGAAUAAUAGAAUAGGACUUGGUUCUAUUUUGUUGGUUUGUUGGGACUGAGUAAUGAUUAAGAGGGACAGUUGGGGGCAUUUGUAUUUCGGUGCUAGAGGAGAAAUUCUUAGAUUACCGAAAGACAAACUGCUGCGAAAGCGUCUGCCAAGGAUGUUUUCAUUGA
rnacentral:rRNA from 1 species